rnacentral:lncRNA from 1 species
AGGUAACUCCUAAAACCGAGUUUUAAAGGUUUUAGUUUCGGGCCGUUUAGUAUUUUCAAGAUUUCUCCCUAACCACUUCGAAUCUCGCAAAACCAAGGGUACCAUCGGAUUCGUGACGACGAGACGAAGCCGGAGACACCGAGCGCUGCCACCGCCGACGAGCCACACGCCGCCACGCGCCGGAAGAAGGAAGCGCGUGACGCCCACGCGCAGCCACGCGCCGCCGAGUCCUCGGAGCGUGGAGCUCACGCGCCGCCGCCGGUGACCGGAACCGCCGCUGUUCGCCAGAGCCGCCGUGACCGGCAGCCGUCCGUUCGCCGCCGGGAUUCCGCCGCCGCGUCGUCGCCGGACCGCCGUCGCCGCCAGUGACUUUUCUGGUAAGGUUCGCCGGAUUUGUUGCCGCCGACCGGUUUGGGUUAACCGGUCGGUUUAAAUUGAUUUAAUCCGGUUGAAAUCGAUUUGGUCUUGGUUUAGGUUAACCGGUUGGUUUAAAUCAAUUGAUUCUCGGUUUAGGAUAACCGUUCGGUUUAAAUCAAUUGGUUCUCGGUUAAAGUUAACCGGUCGGUUUAAAUCAAUUGAUUUCUGGUUUAAGUUAACCGGAUCGAUUUGACUGGUUGGACCGUUGACCGUUGACUGUUGACCGUUGACUUUGACCGUUGACCGUUGACUUUGACCAGUUGACCCGAAAACCGUUUUUCUUCGUUCGGACGCCGUUUGACUCGAUUUUUCGUUCCGGUUUCAGAUCCGGAGUCGGUUUAUUCAUUCGAGGUCCAGAAGUCGUAGGUUCAGCAUUGCUAAGGUGAGGGCUAUUUCCAAACCGCUGUGCUUUGUUCGAGAAUCCUAAUUUACGAAUAGUGCAGCACUGAAUGUGAUGUGUUUCAAUGAUCGAGUCUAGUUAGUUUGAUUGCUUAAAUUGGACAUAGGAAGAUAGAUGAUUAAACCCAUUUGUUUGUCACAUACUGUUAAAUGUUUUUUUGUUAUAAAUAUAUAUAUAUAUAUAUAUAUAUAUAUAUAUAUAUAUAUAUAUAUAUUUUAUGAGAUAUAGCGGAUACAGAUAAAGGAACUUCUGUAUGGUGCCGCAUUGUUUGAGGUAGGGGUGAGGGCAAUGCAUAAUCGAUCUGUUGCCCUGCACCUUAAGAUCGAUAAGCGUCCCAGGGGCGGUGUGAGUGGGCACUAUCCCAUGAGUUACCUCUGUGUGAGGGUGUGAUUGGGCACUAUCCCAUAAAUGAUCUCGUUGAGGGUGUGAUUGGCCACUAUCCCUCCGUAGGAAAAUUGUAUGUUGAUUGAGCACUGUAGGUGCUGUGUUUGCUCAUAUUUGGUACUCCAUUAUUUUGCGAUUAGUUUUCUUGGCUGAGUCAGUGACAUGCGGACUUAGCAUCCCAUACCUCACUGUGCGACUCCCCUGUUGCUCACCCCUCUUUCCCCAUUUCAGGUGAGCCAGACGAGUAGUUAUGACUUGAUGAGUUGGGAUGUGUCAUUUUGGGAUGGAUUAUCGUUUUCAGUAUUCUAUUCGAGACUUUUAUUAAACAGUCGUGUUAUCGACUUAUGUGGAUUUAGUAUGUUUUAUCGGAUUUUUGCGCUGGUAUUUUAUAAAGAACUGGAUGUUUAUGGAAAAAGAGUUAUUUGUUGUUAAAGUGAUUUAUGGUAACAUGCCGUUCCCGAGAGAGGGUGAGACGGAUGUUACACGUGGCACGCCGUUCCCGAGAGAGGGUGAGACGGGUGUUACAGUUUUGGUAUCAGAGCGAGGUUUAGCUGACCCGGUUUUGACCCGGGGGCUGUUUAGAGUUAGAACGCUCGAGUAUUCGGAAUUUGUUUUUAAAACAAAAGUUGUUUCGGGAAUGGGAGAAUUUCUAAAAAAAAAAAAAAAAAAUGAUGACACACCUUUCUGUUGAGUAUUAAGUGUAUUGUUAGUAGCGUCCGCAUCUCCGCUAAAGCUAAUCGAGUUUCCUCCAUUUCAGAUGGGGACAAUAGUUUUCUUUGGAUUAUUAAGUUGACUUGGAGAAGUUAACUUUAUUUACCAAUUAGCCAACAUUAAAAAGAGAACUAGUGAGGACCAUAGUUUUCUUGGACUGGCAAGUUAGUGUCAGAAGUUUGUAUAAGAGUUUGCUAUGGAUAAACCAAUGUUUUGACUCAUAAGAAUGGACGUGAAGUUCGAGUGGAUGGAGGAGUGGGAGAGUAACUUCCAAAUGGUUAACUGACAUUUGACGGAAACAAGUGUUACUACGACCAAAGAUGAGAUUCCGAGAUGGUUCUACAAAGUUCAAAGACGUGAUUUUCUAUCGAGCAAGUCAGUCUAUUUUAGUCUUAUGUAUAGAGAGCACUUAAGGGAAGUGCUAAAAAGGGGUGGAGAGUAGUGUGGGCGGACCCCACACGACAACCCAAUAAUGUAUUUCGACAAAGAACAUGUUGUGAUGUUUACAACAAAGUGUAAAGAUAAGUUGUGGUAGCAAACACACAAGCCAAGUUAUGCUUAUGUAUGGAGAACACUUAAGAAAAUUAUUACAAAGGAAGUGGCAAAGAGCAGUGUGGGAGGACACAUUACGGUAAUCUACACUAUGAAUGUUUUUUUUUAAGAAUGUGGAUGUGAUAGAGUGUCAUAACAAGAGGAAGUUAUGCCAAUGGGGUUGUGCUGUAUUAUUUCCAUUGACUUCAGCGAAGUUAUUUUUACCCGAAAGGAAAAGGGUAUGGUGAAUAAAAUUUGCUAUUGAACUGCCAAAGACGAUUUACAAUAAGGACACAACUUGGAUAGUUGUAGAGCGGGCUAGGUCAAGAUGAAAGGUGUCUGGGAGGAAAAUUUUUAUAUUGUGGGUUUGGAGAAAGCCUUAAAAAUGUUGGAAUAUAAUCUUCAAUCUGACUAUAUGGCAAAGGAAUCCACUAAGGAUAUAGUGAAACGGAAAUCACUAAGGACUUUGAGAAGACAUUAUUUUGGAUUUGGAGUUUGCAUAAUGCAGGAAAGAUAUUCUGUGGCAAAUGAGCAAUUACGUGGAAAAAGUAAUACUUCGAAAGAAUAAGGAUUUCAAAAAGAGUGUUAGGAAAACACUACGUGAGUUUUACAAGUUUGUAGCUGGGAGUUAGAAUUGCAGAGUGAGUGCAUCAGAAUCGUUGUGGACCUUAAUCAACGUGUCACAUUAAACCAUAACGGGCAUGGUUAGAAUCGUAUUUCGGAGCAUUGUUAAAUAAAGACGUAUGUUUGUGCAUCAGUCAUUUUUACAAAGACAAGGUAAUGGAAAAACCGUUGUUGAAAAUUUACUUGGAAAUUUGGAAGAUGAGUUUUCUGUUUAACUCAAGAAGGUUAAGCAACUAUGACAUUAGAUGUUCCAUGUGGUCAUAUUGCUUGACAAUGGAAUCAACCAUAUUCUAGGGGAAGAGUAGGUUAUUAAUUAAAUCAAGAGCUAAAUAUGAGAUUGCAAAGAGGGACUCCACACUGCGGAGAAUAGUAUGUUCAUGUAUAAGAACCGAAUUAGGGUGCCAGAUGCCAAAGGUCUGAAGGAUGAGAUCUUGGCACAAGCUCACAGUUCACGGUUUUCGGUUCACCCUGGAACGACUAAGAUGUAUCAUGACCUAAAGCGGUAUUAUAAUUGGACCAAUAUGGAACGUGAUGUGGCUGCUUGGGUAUCAAAGUGUCAGAUUUGUCAGCAAGUAAAAACAGAGUAUAAAGUUCCAAGUGGUUUACUCCAGAAUUUACCCUUAUCCUGGAACGACUAUGAUAACAAUGGAUUUUGUCACCGGACUUCCAACAACCACCAGGUGGUAAGAAUGUCAUUUGGGUGAUCGUGGACCGACUCACCAAGACAGCUCAUUUCUUGGCCAUCAAGAAAUUAGACAAUGCAGAUGUCUUAGCGCAGCUGUACCUAGACAAGAUUGUUUCUAAGCAUGGGGUGCCAAUAAGCUUAGUGUCGGAUCGGGAUCCAAAAAUUUACAUAUACUUUCUAGCAAGCUUUACAGAAGGCCUUGGGAACAAAGGUACGCCUUAGUACAACUUAUCAUCCCCAGACUGAGGGGCAGUCUGAGAGGACAAUUCAAACGCUAGAGGACAUGUUGAGAACAUGCGUACUCGACUGGGAGGAGAACUGGCUCGAGUACCUACCCUUGGUAGAAUUUGUGUACAAUAACACUUAUCACUCCAGCAUGGGAAUGGCACCAUCUGAGGCUCUUUAUGGUAGGCCGUGUCGUACCCCACUUUGUUGGACCGAAGUGGAGGAGUUCUGUGACUUAGAAUCUAUAAUGGUUCAAGAAGCGGUAAAACAAGUUGAGAUGCUCAAGAGUCGACUGAAGGAAGCACAUGACCGUCAGAAGAGCUAUGCAGACAAGCGCAGGAACGAUUUAGAGUUCGAGGUGGGUGACUUAGUAUACCUUAAAAUGAGGACAUUUCAGGAAGCGCUAAGACUCGAAAACUAAAGAAGCUUAAGCCGAGGUCCCAUGUACCGUAUCCUAUUGUUGAGCGGAUUGGAGCAGUAGCCUACCGUUUGGGUUUAUCGACAGAGUUGUCAGACUUCCAUGAUGUGUUCCACGUGUCAGUUUUGAGAAAGGUUGUCAGAGAGCCAAAGCUUAUUUUGCAGCAUCCGCCUAGGGUUCUCCGUAAGAAUCUGACAGUACCGAGUCGACCAGUUGAGAUUUUGGAGCGGCAAGAACAAGUCGUACAGGGAAAGAUGGUGGUAAAGAUCAGGGUUCGUUGGGAGAGUGACGGGAUCCAGGAGGAAACUUGGGAGUCCGAAGAUGAGAUGAGGUCAGACUACCCAGAGCUGUUUUGGAUGAGAAUGAGCAUGCGAAUGAGGAUUUGAAUUCGAGGACGAAUUCCUUAUUAGUGGGGAAGAAUUGUAACAACCCAUUUAAGGCCCAAGGCCCAUCCGCUGAAGCCCAUGAGGCCCAAUUCUUUGACCUAGGUAUCCUCCUCUAUUCCUCUAUAAAUACCCUCCUCUAUCUCUCAUUUUUCCCACAACUCUCCUGAGUAGUAUUACUCUGCAGAAAUCUCGCCAGAGUUAGCACCACCGAACCGCCGUCCACCCUCUCCCGUAACCGAGCCGACCAAGCCAACGGAAAGCUUAGUCGAAGGUAACUCCUAAAACCGAGUUUUAAAGGUUUUAGUUUCGGGCCGUUUAGUAUUUUCAAGAUUUCUCCCUAACCGCUUCGAAUCUCGCAAAACCAAGGGUACCAUCGGAUUCGUGACGACGAGAAGAAGCCGGAGACACCAAGCGCUGCCACCGCCGACGAGCCACGCGCCGCCACGCGCCGGAAGAAGGAAGCGCGUGACGCCCACGCGCAGCCACGCGCCGCCGAGUCCUCGGAGCGUGGAGCUCACGCGCCGCCGCCGGUGACCGGAACCGCCGCUGUUCUCCGGAGCCGCCGUGACCGGCAGCCGUCCGUUCGCCGCCGGGAUUCCGCCGCCGCGUCGUCGCCGGACCGCCGUCGCCGGACCGCCGUCGCCGCCGGUGACUUUUCCGGUAAGGUUCGCCGGAUUUGUUGCCGCCGACCGGUUUGGGUUAACCGGUCGGUUUAAAUUGAUUUAAUCCGGUUGAAAUCGAUUUGGUCUUGGUUUAGGUUAACCGGUUGGUUUAAAUCAAUUGAUUCUCGGUUUAGGAUAACCGUUCAGUUUAAAUCAAUUGAUUCUCGGUUAAAGUUAACCGGUCGGUUUAAAUCAAUUGAUUUCUGGUUUAAGUUAACCGGAUCGAUUUGACUGGUUGGACCGUUGACCGUUGACUGUUGACCGUUGACUUUGACCGUUGACCGUUGACUUUGACCAGUUGACCCGAAAACCGUUUUUCUUCGUUCGGACGCCGUUUGACUCGAUUUUUCGUUCCGGUUUCAGAUCC